AUGUUUUGUGCACUGAAUGCUGAUUGGUUGAGUGUUUGGAGCAUUAAAUGCUGACUGAGGAAUGUUUCGUGAUUGGUAGGGCGUCUCACCUUGGUCUCACAGUUCUGAAACAUCUCCAAAGCUUCUUCCACCUGAGUCUUCUCAUAACCCAGCUGACACAGACGGUCACAUGACAUCAGAGUUUGAACACAGUCUGGGAUCUUAAGUUCAGGAGCUGUGACCGGCUCUUUCUGACCCAACAGAGCAACAUUAAAUGGAACCUCAUCCAGGCUGGUAAUACUGAUGACAUGCACAGACAAUUUAAGUUGGUGUAUGUGGCCCUGCAGCUGCUGGAUGUAGGAGAUUGUGAGUUGGUGUAAGUGAUUCCCUCUUCCUCUCGCUCUGCGUGCCUGCUGCUGUUUGAGGCGGGCGAUGCUGGGGGCGGACAGGAGGCAGG